ACUCCUGCGGGAGGCAGCAGUGGGGAAUUUUGGACAAUGGGGGCAACCCUGAUCCAGCAAUGCCGCGUGAGUGAAGAAGGCCUUCGGGUUGUAAAGCUCUUUUGUCAGGGAAGAAACGGUGGUGGCGAAUAACUACUACUAAUGACGGUACCUGAAGAAUAAGCACCGGCUAACUACGUGCCAGCAGCCGCGGUAAUACGUAGGGUGCAAGCGUUAAUCGGAAUUACUGGGCGUAAAGCGUGCGCAGGCGGUUGUGUAAGUCAGAUGUGAAAUCCCCGGGCUCAACCUGGGAAUUGCAUUUGAGACUGCACGGCUAGAGUGUGUCAGAGGGGGGUAGAAUUCCACGUGUAGCAGUGAAAUGCGUAGAUAUGUGGAGGAAUACCGAUGGCGAAGGCAGCCCCCUGGGAUAACACUGACGCUCAUGCACGAAAGCGUGGGGAGCAAACAGGAUUAGAAACCCGAGUAGUCCCAUGA
rnacentral:rRNA from 1 species